rnacentral:rRNA from 1 species
GGGGAACCUGCCCCAUAGUCUGGGAUACCACUUGGAAACAGGUGCUAAUACCGGAUAAGAAAGCGGAUCGCAUGAUCAGCUUUUAAAAGGCGGCGUAAGCUGUCGCUAUGGGAUGGCCCCGCGGUGCAUUAGCUAGUUGGUAAGGUAAAGGCUUACCAAGGCGAUGAUGCAUAGCCGAGUUGAGAGACUGAUCGGCCACAUUGGGACUGAGACACGGCCCAAACUCCUACGGGAGGCAGCAGA